GCCCUUGUAGCUCAGCUGGUAGAGCGUCCUCUCUGAAUCUGUCAGCGCUUUGUAAUAUGUAUGAGGCCGUGGGUUCGACUCCCGCCUGGGCA